UUCACGGUAAUCCCUCCAAAUUCACUUUCACCCUAAAAUCCCUCCAAAAUACUUCCAGGCUAAAAUCCCUAAGAGACGGCUAAACUUCAUCAAAAUUCAGAAGGUUGCAAAGAAAUCAGAAGGUUGGUGUCUAAAAUUCAUCUCUCCCGGUGACUUUACACAAAUUAUACUAUUGGAUUAUCCACCUAAUCAAGAGUUAUGGCACCAAGUAAGCAAUGGAUGCAACUUGUUGAUAACCGACUUGACGAAACCUAAUUAAUUGGGGUGCAAAAGUUGUUGGAUUAUGCCUUUAGAAGAACAGGAGAAUUGUAUGAAAUACGAUGUCCGUGUGUCAAUGUUGUAACACAACAUUAGGAACACGUGAGACAAUCGAGACACAUUUGAAAGUAUAUGGAAUAUUUCAAAAUUAUACUUUUUGGUAUCAUCAUGGAGAACCUUUGGAUGAGCCACAGUCGGAAUGCGAAGUUGAAGAUGAUAAUGAAGUAGAUGAUUAUGAGGAUGAGGAUGAAAUACAUGAAAUACUAAGGGAUUUAUAUCCUAAUCAUGAUGGAGGCACUGCUGAUGUUGGUUACAAUGAUUUACUUAAAGAAGAACCAAAUGUUGAAGCCAAAACAUUUUACAGCCUAUUGAAAGAUUUCGAGAAGCCACUAUGAAAGAGUUGAUGAUGGAACAAUGAGGCACCCAGCUGAUUCAAUGGAUAAAUUUGAGAGUGAUGACAUUGAUAUUCAUCGCGAUCAUAUUUUAGGAUGGUUGAAAGAGUUAUGGAACAAAUGGAGAGGACAAUUGCAUGCAAAAUAUGUGAAGGGUAAGCCAAUCCAAGAGGCUCUUAAGAAUGUGCCCAAGGGGGUAGACAAGAAAUAAUGGGAGUGGUUGGUAAAGGAACAUUUUUCUACAGAAAGUUUUCAGGCGAGAAGUAACAGGAAUGCAGCAAAUAGAACUAAGUUGAAGAUGCUUCAUCAUAUUGGUAGCAAGCCAAUUAGAGAGAUUAUUUAUCAAAAG